rnacentral:pre_miRNA from 1 species
CAAAUACUCCCUCCGUCCGAAAAUACUUGUCAGAAAAAUGGAUGUAUGUAGAUGUAUUUUAGUUCUAGAUACAUCUUUUUUUAUCCAUUUCUCCGACAAGUAUUUUUGGACGGAGGGAGUAUAUC